rnacentral:rRNA from 1 species
CAUGCAAGUCGAGCGGGGGAAGGUAGCUUGCUACCGGACCUAGCGGCGGACGGGUGAGUAAUGCUUAGGAAUCUGCCUAUUAGUGGGGGACAACAUCUCGAAAGGGAUGCUAAUACCGCAUACGUCCUACGGGAGAAAGCAGGGGAUCUUCGGACCUUGCGCUAAUAGAUGAGCCUAAGUCGGAUUAGCUAGUUGGUGGGGUAAAGGCCUACCAAGGCGACGAUCUGUAGCGGGUCUGAGAGGAUGAUCCGCCACACUGGGACUGAGACACGGCCCAGACUCCUACGGGAGGCAGCAGUGGGGAAUAUUGGACAAUGGGGGGAACCCUGAUCCAGCCAUGCCGCGUGUGUGAAGAAGGCCUUAUGGUUGUAAAGCACUUUAAGCGAGGAGGAGGCUACUUUAGUUAAUACCUAGAGAUAGUGGACGUUACUCGCAGAAUAAGCACCGGCUAA